rnacentral:misc_RNA from 1 species
GCCAAACUAAUGCUUAAUGCUAUAAAUUUAAUAAAAAAACCUAGCAUCAAACGUAAUUUUCGUCAACAAAUAAACAAAAAAACCAAAAAAUAGAUAAAUAACUCAUCUUUUGCAAAAUAUGGGUUUGUACAACUAGAAUAUAGGUUAUGAUCUUAGCUCACUACUAGAUGAUAUUCAUUCAAGAGACAAAAAGUGAAAGAUUCGUAGAAAGAUAGAUAAUUUUAGAUGGAAAGUUGAGAG